ACACACACACACACACACACACACACACGACUCCAGACUCUGCGAACCAAAGACACACACUCAGUGAGGACAAGCACGCGCCGCAAACGACCCCCGGCCGCAGCUCGCAGAUCCCCGCGCAGGCACCGCGGGCACCGGGACGCGCAGUCCCCGCACUUGCUCGGGACCCAGGCUCGCGCCAGCCCCGCAGCUCGAUGCAGCCCAGGGCGCGGGCGCACCCUCACGCCGCAGCCGCUCCCGUCUCUCCGGGCGCCCACCCUUACCGCGCGCGGCCAGCAGGCAGAAGGGUGGACAGAGAGCUGCUGUAUUUACCCAGCAUUGAGAUCGUGAGACCUAGACUGGGAAAGGAGCAACAAUAGGAAAGAAGAGGAAUGGACGGUUGAGACAGCUUAAAGCAAUUAACUGGCACGGCAACACAUCAAGUACCCAACUGAACUGCAGACAGUGGUAUACACAUGCAUGCUUAGGGAUGCAACUAUGACAAGGUAUGUGCUCAGUAAUUAAGCCAGCACAGACAGGUCAUUUUACAGAGAAGCUUUGUGGUUUCCAGAACCAUCCUGGCCAGAGGACUGACCUUCCUGCAAAUAACUGUCACUUCUGAGUAGGAUGUUAAGCUAUGCCACAUCUACAGGGUGUUUUUCCAGUAAAGAUGGGGGAGUCCUGGAGCUAGCUAAGGACAACUAUCCUGGCUAAUUGCUUCCCCAAACUUCUAUUUUAAGAACACAGGUUUGGAGUCCAAUUUAGAGAGAGCGUCUUUUAGUAAGGAGUAAGGAACAAACAGCAGACUGAACAAUCUGUGUCUUUCAGAGCUGAAAUUACAAUGGGAGCUCAAACUCUUCCAGGGUGAUAGAACCAGAAGAUGAAUCCUUAAAUCCUAGUAAAUCCCCAAACUACACCGAACCCAAAAUAAAAUUAUACUCUGGUUAU